UACGAAGGGGGCUAGCGUUGCUCGGAAUCACUGGGCGUAAAGGGUGCGUAGGCGGGUCUUUAAGUCAGGGGUGAAAUCCUGGAGCUCAACUCCAGAACUGCCUUUGAUACUGAAGAUCUUGAGUUCGGGAGAGGUGAGUGGAACUGCGAGUGUAGAGGUGAAAGUUCGUAGAUAUUCGCAAGAACACCAGUGGCGAAGGCGGCUCACUGGCCCGAUACUGACGCUGAGGCACGAAAGCGUGGGGAGCAAACAGGG
rnacentral:rRNA from 1 species